UACGUAGGUGGCGAACGUUGUCCGGAUUUACUGGGCGUAAAGCGCGCGCAGGCGGACCGAUAAGUCAGAGGUGAAAUCUCCCGGCUCAACUGGGAGGGCCCUUUGAUACUGUCGGUCUUGAGAUGCCUAGAGGAGAGUGGAAUUCCCGGUGUAGUGGUGGAAUGCGUAGAUAUUGGGAAGAACACCGGUGGCGAAGGCGGCUCACUGGCUCAUAUCUGACGCUCAGGCGCGACAGCGUGGGGAUCAAACAGG
rnacentral:rRNA from 1 species